UACAGAGGUCUCAAGCGUUGUUCGGAUUCAUUGGGCGUAAAGGGUGCGUAGGCGGCGCGGAAAGUCGGGUGUGAAAUUUCGGAGCUUAACUCCGAAACUGCAUUCGAUACUCCCGUGCUUGAGGACUGGAGAGGAGACUGGAAUUUACGGUGUAGCAGUGAAAUGCGUAGAGAUCGUAAGGAAGACCAGUGGCGAAGGCGGGUCUCUGGACAGUUCCCGACGCUGAGGCACGAAGGCCAGGGGAGCAAACGGG
rnacentral:rRNA from 1 species